rnacentral:rRNA from 1 species
UACGUAGGGUGCAAGCGUUAAUCGGAAUUACUGGGCGUACAGCGUGCGCAGGCGGUUUUGUAAGUCUGAUGUGAAAUCCCCGGGCUCAACCUGGGAAUUGCAUUGGAGACUGCAAGGCUAGAAUCUGGCAGAGGGGGGUAGAAUUCCACGUGUAGCAGUGAAAUGCGUAGAGAUGUGGAGGAACACCGAUGGCGAAGGCAGCCCCCUGGGUCAAGAUUGACGCUCAUGCACGAAAGCGUGGGGAGCAAACAGG